rnacentral:rRNA from 1 species
CAGCCGCCGCGGUAAGACAGAGGAUGCAAGCGUUAUCCGGAAUGAUUGGGCGUAAAGCGAGCGCAGGCGGUCAAUUAAGUCUGAUGUGAAAGCCCCCGGCUCAACCGGGGAGGGUCAUUGGAAACUGGUUGACUUGAGUGCAGAAGAGGAGAGUGGAAUUCCAUGUGUAGCGGUGAAAUGCGUAGAUAUAUGGAGGAACACCAGUGGCGAAGGCGACUCUCUGGUCUGUAACUGACGCUGAGGCUCGAAAGCGUGGGUAGCAAACAGGAUUAGAUACCCCUGUAGUCCCUGUCUCUUAUAC